CUCACAGAGCUAGACAACAUCAACAUGCUUCCUACCCUCCUCACCACCAUGCUUUUUACAAGUAAGUUGUAGACUUUAUAGGGAAGCUAGCACAAUUACUAACAUUUGUAGCAAUUACAAAGCUCAAGUAAAGGCACUUCAUUAAUACAUCAUAAUUUAAAAUACUGCAAUAACUGGACACUUUUUGUCAUUUGUUUUUAAAGACAUACAACACUAUUUUUUUUUUUGAUGUUGUAAAUAUAACAAAGAUUACUGAGUAUAUUUUACAAGAAAAUACUAGGUUAUUUCAGUCUAGUCAUGUUUUACAUGCCAUUUUUAGUUAUGAAGUAAUAAGUUGUUCAACUAGUUGUGAAAUUUAGCAGUUUCUGGGUGAACAUUUGUACUAUUAUUUUUUUUUUUUUAGUGUACAGUUCAAAAGUUUAGGGUUAGUCAAUUUUUAAAAUGCAGUAAAACAUUACAAUUUAACAUUCUUCAGUGUCACCCUAUGCUUUAGAAAUCAUUCUAAUAUGCUGAUUUGCAGCUCAAGACACAUUUUGUAUUAAUAUCAGUGUUGAAAACAGCACAGUAUUUUUGAGGAAACCGUGAUACUGAUCCCAAAUCUAUGCAUACUAAUACUAACUUUUCUGAGUCUUGUUCUCAUCUCUGAAGUGGGAUCUGAUGCUGUCCCUUUUGCCAUCUUAUCUCCACCGUUUCAUUUGAACACUGAUCUCAACGGCUUGAUCAUCCUGGUGUGUGUGGUCCAUGACAUUCAUCGAGGAGAGCUGGAGGUCGCCUGGAUUUCUAGUGGCACCAGAGGAACUAAUCCAGCAGUCUCGAACUUACUCCAAGGACACAUUCAGAGCACAGUGUCUGUUAUAUCUGUGCCCUCGAGUGAAUGGAUGUCCCACACCUGCUUUGUGAGUCACAGAGGCUCCGAUCAACUCGUGCACAGACAUUAUGCUGGAUUCCCAAUGGAGACGACCGGAAUGGCUGACGAUGAAGAAACCUUAUGUGUUUGGACCAUCAAAGCAGUUUUUUGGAAGGUACAUUACAUUUGAUAAUCCUAAAAAUUCAGUUCUGUUUGUUUUGUACUCAUUUUUCUGUACUGUUGCAGACGUCCGAGCAAACGAAGAUCUAUUAUUUGUUGAAGCUCUCAUGAUUCUCCUCUUCAAAAUCACCAUUUUCAACGUUUUAAUGACAGUGCAGGCCGUCAUAAAAUGAGUUUCAAAGACAACUGUCACGGAUGUCAGAGUUAAUUGGAUGUGCUAUUGGAGGAAUUCCAGCUGAUGCAAAUGAGAAUCUGGCAUGUUGAUGAGCGUCUCGAUGAGCCACAAGACACGGGUGCUUCAAUAUGUGGGCAGAUGAGUGCGAUAGCUGCUCACAACCACAUCAUGUACACAAUACAACACAUGCAAUGCACUACAAGCUGCUUUUGUAGGCCAUUGUCAAAUAUAAAAGCUUUGAAUGGCAUUGUCAAGUCAGCUUCCACUGUUGUGACACUGUUGAACUCUUGAUCUGUCUGACAGUGAUGAAACUUUGAUGGAACUCUUUGUUGCAUGUGAAUGAGAUCAUUGUGCUUAGCACUCUAUCAAAGACUGAGACACUGUUUCAUUUUUAUUUUAGGGGGAGAUGUGAAUGUGACGUCAGUACUUCAUCAAGACUUUUUUUGCUAUUUAUUUGUGGAGCAUGGAUGUUCACUAUUUUUGUUUUAAUUGCACUACUGUUCAAAUGUUUGCUUAUUUUUUAGUGUAAUUUUUUGUUUUUGUAAGUGUCUUAUGCUCACCAAGGCUGCUAUUUAUUUGAUCAAAAUAUAGGGAAAACAGUAAUAUUAACAUUUUAAAAUAUUCUUGUUUUUUAUUUGUAACUAUUAUUUUAGUAAUAUUAACUAAUUUAAAAUAUCUUGUUUUUUAUUUGUAACAUAUUUUCUAAAUUUAUUUCCAUAAUAGACAAAGCUAUAUUUUCAGCAGCCAUUACUCCAGUCUUCAGUGUCACAUCAUCCUUCAGAAAUCAUUAUAAAAUAUUCUAAUUUGCUGUUUCAAGAAAUAUUUCUUACUAUUAUAAAUGUCAAAAACAGCUGUGCUGCUUAAUAUUGUUGUGGAAACAGCACUACAUUUUUCACAAUUCUUUGAUGAAUAAAAAGUCACAAAUAACAGCAUUUAUUUGACAGAAAUAUUUUGUAAUAUUAUGCGAGUCUUUACUCUCACUUUUCAUCAAUUUAAUGUGUCAUUGCUUAAUAAAAUAAUUAAUGUAUUUAAAAAAAACAGAGCAGAGAUGAAUUAAUGUAAAUGUACUUCCCAAUGAAUGUAUAUGGCAAUUAACCACAAAUGAAUUGUGUAAAAACUAAAUAAAUAAAGCCAGUGCAUUUAUGUAUUUUUCAUUUAUUGUUUUAAAUUAACACACUUUUUCUUUUGUUUUUCUUUUUUUCUAACAGCAUCCGUACAAUACUAAAACACUGAUGUAACAAUGGUGACCCACUAGGUGGCAGUACAAUCACAUCUUAAACGUUUUUCAACAGCAAGCGUAUGGAGCUUAACUUCUCUAACAAGACACUAUAUUUCAUAAAUAAUUUAAGUAGAAACAUUGAGCAGUCACUCUUUACAAAAACAAUGUUCACAACAAAAAGUAAGCGAUCACAAGAUCAAAUGCGAAAUGCAAAAAACACAGGAUGAAGGCUUUCCAUUGCAGCUAAUUAAUUGCACUGACGCCUUGUUCUGGUAUUUCCUAGGUGGCAGUACAAUCACAUCUUAAACGUUUUUCAACAGCAAGCGUAUGGAGCUUAACUUCUCUAACAAGACACUAUAUUUCAUAAAUAAUUUAAGUAGAAACAUUGAGCAGUCACUCUUUACAAAAACAAUGUUCACAACAAAAGUAAGCGAUCACAAGAUCAAAUGCGAAAUGCAAAAAACACAGGAUGAAGGCUUUCCAUUGCAGCUAAUUAAUUGCACUGACGCCUUGUUCUGGUAUUUCAGAAAAGAACAAAGAAAAAAAACCCAUCCCACUGUACACUGAUUUAGGUCAAUUGGCCAAUCAAAUGAUCCUGUUCGGAUUCGGCCAAUUCACUGCCUGCCGAAACUCCCAGUGUUCCAAAUACAAUCGAAUACACUUGUCACAGUAUUGUAGCAGCUCUUCAGCACUGGCAGUAGUUAAACAAUGACGUCUCUACAGUAGCAAGUCUUGGUAUUGAAACGUGCGUAUCAGGAGUGUCGGCAUGGCUUCCGUAGCAGUUGGACAGUAAGGUCCAGAAGGUAUACAAUUCGAUUUCAUCAAAUGAAUUGUGUGUCCAUCAGGCCGAAUGCCACACUCAAAGUAAAUAGAGACAUAAGUGUUUCUGAAUAUCCUUCAUUUGCUUUGAAUGCUCUCUGAAUGAAAUCACUGCUGAUGUGCAGUCAGCAAAAGAACCACGGCUCAAGUUGCACUUCUGGCUGACAAAAUAACUGUUAAAAUGCUUGCUUGGCCAAAAAACAAUUCCAUUGAACAUAUUUCUGAUUUGAGUUGAUUUAUGGCACUGGCUUGCAAAACAUGACAAUACCACACCAUCGUUUUUGGCUAAAUAAAACGUAUAGGGAAGCCCAAAAAUCUGAUAAUGUGUUGCUUCUGCAUCAUAUCUUUGGUCAAGGAUAAAACAAGGACUUGAGGGAACUUAACACUUUGAACAGAUAAUAAAUAUUUGUUUGGCAAAGUGACAAAGCUAAUAAAUCUUGCAAGAAGCCAUUCUAAAAGAUGCUACAAGUCUGACUAGGAAUGAGACAUGGCCGACUUUAGCACUGUUCGCUCACUGACUAUGGAAUUAGAUGAAACUUUUAGCAUAAAUAUUUCGGUGUCUCUAAAACGCACUCUUCAGGAUUGAUGUUUUGUGUCGUACAUAAGGUAGACUUUGUACCAAACAAAACAUUCUGAUUGUCAUUUAUAAAAUGGGCCGAAAUUCCAAUACCUAACAAUGCCCACGUUCAAUAACAGAAAAAUUCCCAUUUGAAUUUCUGACUUAAGUGCACUUCAACCUGCGUUUGCCUGAAUUCUUCACUUUGUUUUUGCUGAUCAACGUGACUCCACAGCUGAGUACCAGAACUAAAAACACAGAUAAAGUCAAAGUCUAGUCAACAUGAUCCUUCUUUAAACCUCUAGCACACAAUCACUACGCCAGCCACAUUGUGAAAUAUGUUUAACACGGUUCUACAGAGCAAGAUGGUGAGGUAAGUACCAUUUGUAUAGAGACCUACAGAAAUGUAUCAAAGAAAAAGCGCAGUGUUAGAUUAUUGAGCACUGGUUCCGUGGAACACUGUUUUCUAGUUGCAAAAACCAAAAAAAGAAAGAAAAUAAAGUGCUUCCAUUAAGAUUUCCUCUCCUGAGGACAAAAAACAUGAAAUCUACAAAAAUUCACUCACAAAAUCUACAAUAUUCAGCUCUCUUGAAAACAUGUCUUACACAAAUGUACAGUCUAAUGCCAAAAAAAAGAAAAGAAAAAAUAAAGUAGCUUUCCAUUUAAGAUUUCCUCUCCUGAGGACAAAAAACAAUGAAAUACUCAAAAAAUUCACUCACAAAAAUCUACAAUAUUCAGCUCUCUUGAAAACAUGUCUUACACAAAAUGUACAGUCUAAUGAAGGUUCGUUUUCUAACAUUCAUUCUCCGAACAGACAGUAUAUACAAAGUACCUCAGAGUACUGACUUUUUACAGUCUGGUUUUCUUCUUCGAAACAG
rnacentral:lncRNA from 1 species